rnacentral:rRNA from 1 species
AGUGAACGUUGGCGGCGUGGAUUAGGCAUGCAAGUCGAGCGAGAACCGUAGCAAUACGGGGACAGCGGCGAAAGGGACAGUAAUGUGUAGGUACCUACCUCCGGGUUCGGGAUAGCUGCGGGAAACUGCAGGUAAUACCGAAUAACGUCUCCGGACCAAAGGUGUGAUUCCACCUGGAGAGGGGCCUGCAUCCUAUUAGCUUGUUGGCGGGGUAACGGCCCACCAAGGCGACGAUGGGUAGCAGGUGGGAGAGCACGACCCGCGUCAUUGGGACUGGGACACUGCCCAGACACCGACGGGUGGCUGCAGUCGUGAAUCUUCGGCAAUGGGCGCAAGCCUGACCGAGCGACGCCGCGUGCGGGAUGAAGGCCUUCGGGUUGUAAACCGCUGUCGUAGAGGAGGAAAUGCAGGGGGGUUCUCCCCUCUGUUUGACCUAUUCUAGGAGGAAGUACGGGCUAAGUUCGUGCCAGCAGCCGCAGUAA